rnacentral:rRNA from 1 species
AAUCUUCGGCAAUGGGCGAAAGCCUGACCGAGCGACGCCGCGUGGAGGAUGAAGGCCUUCGGGUCGUAAACUCCUAAAAGAGGGACGAUAGUGACGGUACCUCUUGAAAAGCACCGGCUAACUCCGUGCCAGCAGCCGCGGUAAUACGGAGGGUGCGAGCGUUAAUCGGAAUUACUGGUCGUAAAGCGCGCGUAGGCGGUGGUGUGAGUCGGGCGUGAAAGCCCCGGGCUUAACCUGGGAAUUGCGUUCGAUACCGCAUCGCUAGAGUCUGGGAGAGGGAAGGGGAAUUCCGGGUGUAGCGGUGAAAUGCGUAGAUAUCCGGAGGAACACCAGUGGCGAAGGCGCCUUCCUGGCCUAAGACUGACGCUGAGGUGCGAAAGCGUGGGGAGCAAACAGG